AGUGAACGCUGGCGGUAGGCCUAACACAUGCAAGUCGAACGGCAGCACAGUAAGAGCUUGCUCUUACGGGUGGCGAGUGGCGGACGGGUGAGGAAUACAUCGGAAUCUACUUUUUCGUGGGGGAUAACGUAGGGAAACUUACGCUAAUACCGCAUACGACCUACGGGUGAAAGCAGGGGAUCUUCGGACCUUGCGCGAUUGAAUGAGCCGAUGUCGGAUUAGCUAGUUGGCGGGGUAAAGGCCCACCAAGGCGACGAUCCGUAGCUGGUCUGAGAGGAUGAUCAGCCAAACUGGAACUAAGACACGGUCCAAACUCCUACGGGGGGCAGCAGUGGGGAAUAUUGGACAAUGGGGGCAAGCCUGAUCCAGCCAUACCGCGGGGGGGAAAAAGGCCUUCGGGUUGUAAAGCCCUUUUGUUGGGAAAGAAAAGCAGCAGGUUAAUACCCCGCUGUUCUGACGGUACCCAAAGAAUAAGCACCGGCUAACUUCGUG
rnacentral:rRNA from 1 species